AAACCAGCACCUCAAGUGGUCAGGAGGAUUAUUGGGCCUAAAGCAUCCGUAGCCUGUUCUAUAAGUUUCCGGUUAAAUCCACUAGCUCAACAUACAGGCUGCCGGGAAUACUGCAGGACUAGGGAGUGGGAGAGGUAGACGGUACUCGGGAGGAAGUGGUAAAAUGCUUUGAUCUCUCGAUGACCACCUGUGGCGAAGGCGGUCUACCAGAACACGUCCGACGGUGAGGGAUGAAAGCUGGGGGAGCAAACCGGAUUAGAAACCCCGGUAGUCC
rnacentral:rRNA from 1 species